rnacentral:rRNA from 1 species
GAUGAACGCUGGCGGCGUGCCUAACACAUGCAAGUCGAGCGGCAGCGAGGGGUGCCUGCACCCUGUCGGCGAGCGGCGGACGGCUGAGUAACGCGUGGGAACGUGCCCCAAAGGGAGGAAUAACUGCCCGAAAGGGUAGCUAAUACCGCAUAUUAUCUUCGGAUCAAAGGAUUCAUCCGCGUUGGUAGCUGCUCGCGUCGGUUUAGGUAGUUGGCGAGGUGAUGGCUCAACAAGCUGACGAUCCGUAGCUGGUCAGAGAGGAUGACCAGCCAAACUGGAAGUGGGCCACAGUCCGGACUCCUACGGGAUGCAGCAGUGAGUGAUCGUCCACCAUGGGCGGAAGCCUGAUGGAGCACCGCCGCGUGAAGGACGAAGGCCGUCGGGUUGUAAACUGCUUUUAUAAGUGAGGAAUAUGACGGUAACUAAUGAAUAAGCAUCGGCUAACUACGUG